rnacentral:rRNA from 1 species
CCUACGGGGGGCAGCAGUGAGGAAUAUUGGUCAAUGGUCGAGAGCCUGAACCAGCCAAGUCGCGUGAGGGAGUACUGUCCUACGGGUCGUAAACCUCUUUUGCCGGGGAGCAAGGGCGGGGACGUGUCCCGGCCCGGAGAGUACCCGGAGAAAAAGCACCGGCUACCUCCGUGCCAGCAGCCGCGGUACUCCGGAGGAUGCGAGCGUUAUCCGGAUUUUUUGGGUUUAAGGGGUGCGUGGGCGGGCUUUUACGUCGGCGGUAAAAAUUCGGGGCUCAACCCCGUCCGGCCGUUGAAACUGGGGGCCUUGAGUGGGCGAGAAGAAGGCGGAAUGCGUGGUGUAGCGGUGAAAUGCAUAGAUAUCACGCAGAACCCCGAUUGCGAAGGCAGCCUUCCGGCGCCCUACUGACGCUGAGGCACGAAAGUGCGGGGAUCGAACAGGAUUAGAUACCCUUGUAGUC